AGGAAGACAAUUGGAACUGCUAAUUCCUCGCUCCAUACUUAAAAAUAUGGCUUCCUU
rnacentral:tRNA from 1 species